rnacentral:rRNA from 1 species
UUUUGGACAAUGGGCGCAAGCCUGAUCCAGCCAUUCCGCGUGAGUGAAGAAGGCCUUCGGGUUGUAAAGCUCUUUCGCAAGGGCCCAAAACUUACUUUCUAAUAAAGAGUGAGGUUGACGGUACCUUGAUAAGAAGCACCGGCUAACUACGUGCCAGCAGCCGCGGUAAUACGUAGGGUGCGAGCGUUAAUCGGAAUUACUGGGCGUAAAGCGUGCGCAGGCGGCUUUGUAAGUCAGAUGUGAAAUCCCCGAGCUCAACUUGGGAACUGCGUUUGAAACUACAAGGCUAGAAUAUGUCAGAGGGGGGUAGAAUUCCACGUGUAGCAGUGAAAUGCGUAGAGAUGGGAGGAAUACCAAGGCGAAGGCCGCCCCCUGGCCCUUUACGCUCAGCAGAGGC